ACGCUGGCGGCAGGCCUAACACAUGCAAGUCGAGCGGAUGAAGGGAGCUUGCUCCCUGAUUCAGCGGCGGACGGGUGAGUAAUGCCUAGGAAUCUGCCUGGUAGUGGGGGACAACGUCUCGAAAGGGACGCUAAUACCGCAUACGUCCUACGGGAGAAAGUGGGGGAUCUUCGGACCUCACGCUAUCAGAUGAGCCUAGGUCGGAUUAGCUAGUAGGUGGGGUAAUGGCUCACCUAGGCGACGAUCCCUAGCUGGUCUGAGAGGAUGACCAGCCACACUGGAACUGAGACACGGUCCAGACUCCUACUGGAGGCAGCAGUGGGGAAUAUUGCACAAUGGGCGCAAGCCUGAUGCAGCCAUGCCGCGUGUGUGAAGAAGGCCUUAGGGUUGUAAAGCACUUUCAGCGAGGAGGAAGGCGUUGUAGUUAAUAGCUGCAACGAUUGACGUUACUCGCAGAAGAAGCACCGGCUAACUCCGUGCCAGCAGCCGCGGUAAUACGGAGGGUGCAAGCGUUAAUCGGAAUUACUGGGCGUAAAGCGCACGCAGGCGGUUUGUUAAGUCAGAUGUGAAAUCCCCGAGCUUAACUUGGGAACUGCAUUUGAAACUGGCAAGCUAGAGUCUUGUAGAGGGGGGUAGAAUUCCAGGUGUAGCGGUGAAAUGCGUAGAGAUCUGGAGGAAUACCGGUGGCGAAGGCGGCCCCCUGGACAAAGACUGACGCUCAGGUGCGAAAGCGUGGGGAGCAAAC
rnacentral:rRNA from 1 species